rnacentral:rRNA from 1 species
UACGGAGGGUGCAAGCGUUAUCCGGAUUCACUGGGUUUAAAGGGUGCGUAGGCGGACAAGUAAGUCAGUGGUGAAAUCUCUGGGCUUAACUCAGAAACUGCCGUUGAUACUAUUUGUCUUGAAUAUCUUGGAGGUAAGCGGAAUAUGUCAUGUAGCGGUGAAAUGCUUAGAUAUCGAGAGGAACACCUGCGGCGAAGGCGGGUUGCCUGGGCCGACACGUGACGCUGAUGCGCGAAAGCCAGGGGAGCGAACGGG